rnacentral:rRNA from 1 species
UACGGAGGGGGCAAGCGUUGUUCGGAAUUACUGGGCGUAAAGGGCGCGUAGGCGGGUCUAUGUGUCAGAGGUGAAAGCCCUGGGCUCAACCCAGGAAUAGCCUUUGAAACUGUAGGUCUUGAGUGCGAGAGAGGAUGGCGGAAUUCCCAGUGUAGAGGUGAAAUUCGUAGAUAUUGGGAAGAACACCGGUGGCGAAGGCGGCCAUCUGGCUCGUAACUGACGCUGAGGCGCGAAAGCGUGGGGAGCAAACAGG